GCGGCCGGGAUGGGCAGCGGGUAAGUAGGAACGGGGUGGCGCCCCACACCCUCCCCUGCUUGUUUGGGGUGCGGCGAGGGGAGGUGCGCCGGUGCAGGGGUUCGCUGGGCUGCGGUUGUGGGUUCCCGGUGGGCGGCCGGAAACUGAGACAGGAAGCCUUGGGGUGGGGUGGGUGUGUGUGUCUGUGUCUGUCUGGUGGGGGGGCUUGGCAGGCGACGCCAAGCUCUCAAGGGCUGGGACAGGUCCUUCGUUCGCGGAGGGCACUAGUCAAGAGUACUGGAACGCGGAGGUGGCCGAGCCACACUCAGGACCGUGGGCGCCCCGGCCGCGGGGCCGCCUUGGUCCGCGCCCCCCCAGCCCCCGCGUGCUUAGCGCCGCAGCGCAGCGCCUUCGGCUGGUUUCUCCCGCCCCUGGAUGGUCCCUGUUCCCUCGGCUUCUGUCUACCACCCACCUGGAUGCCUGCAGCCGCUGGCCUCUCUCCCCCCGGGUGCUCAAAACCAGCAGCGCCCCGGAGAGGAGAAAGAGGGUCCCCCGUCCUUUGGGGCCGCGCGGGACCCGGGUGCGGGGGAUAGGCCCCCCACCAUCCAUUUCCCAAAAGUCGCCGCAGAUGUGCGGCCACCGGGAGUCACGUAGUGUGCGGCGAGCGUCGGAGCUCGGAGAGGCCUGGGCGGGGGUGACCGGGCGAAGCCAGAGUGCAGAGGCUUCUCACGAAAGGGGAAGCUCCUUGCGGGGGUGCAGCUUUCGGCCGAAAUUUAGCUCCGCAGGAGCUUGGGAUGUUUGCUGUUCUCCCCUCGCCUUUAGUUUCAUUUAUUCUCUUCCAAAGAGCAUGUUCCUUCCCCGGAUGUUGGGUGUUUUCCAUCCUCCCUCAAAAAGGAUACGCCGGGAAAGGAACAUGCAGAUCGUUGAACAUUCUUUGGUUGGAGUCUGAGGAAGGCUCAUCUUGACGCUAAGGAGACUCGCGUUUUCGGGGAGUGUAAAAUUUGCAAAAUCAGGAUGUUUCCCCGCCCCAUCUCUCUUGAAGACAACUCUCUCACUCCCCGACCCCCGAUACCAGCUGUCUGCUGCGCCAAAGCUUGAGGAGCCCAGGCCUGGAGUCUUUGGCGGUUAAGAGUACGUAGAGAGAUUUCACAAGAUUCAGCUGUGAUGGUGGUGCUUGGGGGCGAGAGAGAAAGGACUAGAAGUCCUGAGGCGGAAGGGAGUGGCUUUCGAUUGAAACAAAGCUCGAGAUGACCCCAGAGGGGAAGCCUCUGUGGCACCACCCCUUCUCUUUUCUGUCCCAUUCCAGCUUCUAGUCCUCCCUGGUGCUUGUAGUUAACAGUACUGUUUUAGACUUAAACAUUUUGCUAAGUGAGAUCGUGAAGUGUACUCGCCACAUGCAAGCAACAACAACAAGGGGGUGUGCGUGUGAAAGAAAACUUUUGGAGGUGAUGUGUUUUUGUGGCAUAGCUUGUGGUUUUGCCAGUGUAUGCUGAUCUCCAAACUGAUGAAGUUGCUUAUGGUAAAUAUUUAUGACUUGUUUGUGUGUCCGUCAUACCUCAAUAAAAUGGUUUUAAAAAAAAAAAGCUACCUUUGGAGUUCGUGCUGUGUUGCAGUGGGUUAAGAUUGGCAUUGCAGUGGCUUGAGUUGCUGGGGAAGCAUGGAUUUGAUCCCAUGUGGGCACAGUGGGGUAAAGGAUCUGAGGGUGCCCCAGCUGUGGCUGAGAUUCAGUCUCUGGCCUGGGAACUUCCAUAUGCAGUGGAUGCAGCCAUUAAAAAAAAGUUACAUCCAGUUUUCUAAAAACUUUCUGUAUCAAUAGUUUACAGUGUAAAUCAUAGUUACAGAAAUGAAACUUGAGACCAUAUUACUAUUUCAUUUAGAAACUUUAUUAAAAGGACUGAUUUUUCUCAGACAAGUUAUAUCCAAUGCCUUUUUUUUUUUAAUUGAAGUCUGGUUGAUUUCCAAUGUUGUGUUUCUGGUAUGCAGCAAGUAAUUUAUUUAUAAAAACAGACACAUAAGUACACAUACGUAUACAUCCCACCAUCCUUUUUCAUAUUCUUCUCCAAUAUGUUUUUUCUUUUUUAAACUGGGAUAUUGAAUGUAAUUCCCUGAGCUAAACAGUAGGAUCUUAUUAUCUGUUUUAUGCAACUUUGUUGUUUAUCUAUUUUACAUGUAGUCCUCUGUAUCUGCUAAUCCCAAACUCCUAAUGCGUCCCUUCUCCACCCCCUUUCUCCUCUGGUAACCAUAAAUUUUCUAGGUUUGUGAGUCUGUUUCUGUUUUGCAAAUAAGGUCAUUUGUGUCAUUAAUUUAGUUUCCACAUGGCCGAGUAGUAUUCCAUAGGUAUGCACUAUGUCCUGUGUGAAUUCAUCUGUCAGUGGCCAUUUACUUUAUUUCCAGGUCUUGGUUAUUGCAGAUGGUGCUGCUAUGAACACUGGGGUGCAUUAUCUUUUCGAAUCGGAGUUUUCUUCAGAUAUGCGCCCAGGUGUGGGGUUGCUGCAUCAAAUGGUGACUCCACUUUUAGUUUUUCAAGGGACAUCCAUACCGUUGUUCUCCUUAGUGGUUGUACUAGUUUACAUUUCCAUCAGAAGUUCCAUCCAAUCUUAAUGGGACUAUUAGGCAUUAAAUAUAAGUUUUGAAAUUAGACCUGCAAAUUCCAACACUGCCUCGCACUAGCUGUAGGACUUCUGAGUAAAUCGAAUUGAACGACCCUCUCCCCCAGCAGGUGUUAUCACUUGAUACACGCGGGUAAUAAAUAUCUUGGCAAUGAGGGUUAAAAGGCACCACGUGUGGGGUCUCAGGCACACUCAAUAGUGAUUCCUUCAUUGAAGAGGAGCUAUGAGCCCAACCCUUGAUCCAGGGCAGUGUUGAGAUCUCAGUGCCUCCCGCGGCCCUCCCUGCACUGGAGGUGGGUGAGGGUGUUGGUUCCAGACCAAAGAUCCCGCCGGGGAGGGAGCCUCUGCCUCCUCUUGCCUUCGCACCUCGGUGGCUGGGGUGACUCGUUCUCCCCGGCGGCCUCUUGAGGAUGAGGUGCAGUCUCUUCCCAGGCUCCACGAGUUUUCGGGGCUCAAAGAAACACCAGCAGCGUCCCGGGAGGAGAAAGAGGGUCCCCCGUCCUUUGGGGCCGCGCGGGACCCGGCUGCGGGGGCUGGACUCCCCGCUACCCAUUUCCGAAAAGUCGCCGCAGAUUUUCGGCCACCAGAAGCCGCCUAGUGCAAGGCAAGCGUCGGAGUUUGGAGAGGCCUGGGCGGGUGUGACCGGGUGGUGCAGAGGCUUCUCAAGAAAGGGGCAGCUUUUUUGCGGGGGGUGUGUGUGUGGGGGAAGCUUUCGUCCGAAAUUUAGCUCCGCUGGGGCUUGGGAUAUUUGCUUUUCCUCCCCAACGUCUGCUUUAUUCUCUUCCAAAGAGCAUGUUCUUUUGCCGGAUUCUGGGCAUUUUCCGACCUCGUCAAAAAGGAUAUGCCGGGAAAGGAACAUGCAGAUAGUUUAACAUUCUUUGGUUGGAGUCUGAGGAAGUGUCACCUUGACGCUAAGGAGACUUGGCGCUUUCAGGGAGUGUAAAACUUGCAAAAUUAAGAUCCCCCCCUCCGUCUUUCCUAAAGACAACUUUCUCUUCCCCUGCCCCAGCUUUCUUCAGCAUAAAGCCUUGAUGAGCCCUAGGCUGGAAUCACUGGAAGUUAAGGAGUCUGGGGGGGGGGGAUUUGAAAAGUUGCAGCUGUAAUGGAGGUGCUGGGCAGUGGCGGGGGGGGGGGGGGGGGGAGAAGAGAAAGAACUAGAAAGUCCUGGAAGUGGGGCGGGAGUGGCUUUAGAUUGAAGCAAAGCUCAGGAUGACCCCAGGGGAGAAGCCUUUGUCGUGUCCCCCCCCUCCCCCCGCCCCCGCGGCUUUCCUUUCUCUCCCAUUCCUGCUUCCAGUCCUCACUCAGGCUUGUAGUUAACAGUAGUAUUUUUAGAUUUAAAAUUUUGCCAAGUGAGAUUUUUCCUUAAGUGUACGUGUUACAUGCAAAAAAAUAUAUAAAUUACAUAUAUAUGAGGGGGUGAGAGGAAACUUUAGGAGGUGAUGUAUUUGUUUGCAUAGCUUGUGGUUUUGCCACUGUAUGCUUCUCUCCAACCUGAUGAAGUUGCUUAUAUUGAAUAUUUAUGGCUUGUUUGUGUGUCAGUCAUACCUCAAUAAAAUGGUUUUUAAAAAA